CAACCUAGGUCUCCAGGAGCAUGCGAAUGUGUCAGCAGAGCUACUUGGGGCACAGGAAGGAUAGAGUUUAUAUGUGCACUGAGAGAAAUAUAAAUAUAGGAGCCCAGUUAACUUUCUGUCAACACCAUCUUAGGUUCCCUGACACGGACAGAGGACAGUCUCCUGCCCACAAGUUACUAGAUAAGAGCUGGGGAGAGGUGGUUGCAAAUGCCAGCCCUUCUGAAAGCAAAAGCAAGCAGGUCUCUUAGGCACACAAGAACCUGAGUUUGUCGGGGAGUUCAAUCAAUGAAACUGUGUUCUGCCUUUAAAAACAAGCCCCACCGGCGGACAGUGGGCAAGGGAGUGGCCAAGAGUGCUUGCUUUUGCCGCCAUGUGGGCGUUCUCGGUUGUAGAACCUAGCAAGGUCGGAUUAUACAACAGACGCAUACUUUUGUGUCGACCAACAAUGUGCUACAAAUGUGACACUUGACCCUGAACUGCAUGUAUUGGGGACUUUUUAGAAGAAAAAACAAACUUUGAAUCAAUAAAUUAACAGUUUUUCCACCUGGUGGCUCUUCUUGCUGUGAAUGAUGAAUUGGGGACAUGGCAAGUUUGGAUAAUCUUCAAGAACCAAGGAGCCUUCUGUUUGCAGGAAAAAACACUGCCUGUGUUGUGGUCUUUUUCCAAAAGAACACUACAAACCCAGUUCCUCAGUGUAGCCCUGGAUGACUGAUGUGGUGCCGUGUCAAAUUCUGUUUAAAUAAAUAAAAUUUAUGUUGACAAUUCCUGACCUUCUCAACUAGGAGACAGUUGCUUCAGACCUUAGCUUGCACUUGAGGUGUGGGGUGGGCCAUAAACUCGGAGCUUUGGAGACCUGUGGUGGCUGAAGCAGUCACUUCGGUGUGGAGAUUUCUCUAGGAGUGAAACUAGUGGCAUCACUCAAGACCCCUGCUUCUCAGAAGUAGCUUGAUGACUAACCUUGGGCCCUGAGCUCAGGCAUUUGUAGAAGUCCCUCUCCACCACUACGUGCAGCACACACGU
rnacentral:lncRNA from 1 species